rnacentral:rRNA from 1 species
GGGUUGUGAGGUUAAGCGACUAAGCGUACACGGUGGAUGCCCUGGCAGUCAGAGGCGAUGAAGGGCGUACUAAUCUGCGAUAAGCGCCGGUAAGGUGAUAUGAACCGUUAUAACCGGCGAUACCCGAAUGGGGAAACCCAGUGUGAUUCGUCACACUAUCAUUAACUGAAUCCAUAGGUUAAUGAGGCGAACCGGGGGAACUGAAACAUCUAAGUACCCCGAGGAAAAGAAAUCAACCGAGAUUCCCCCAGUAGCGGCGAGCGAACGGGGAGGAGCCCAGAGCCUGAAUCAGCAUGUGUGUUAGUGGAAGCGUCUGGAAAGGCGCGCGAUACAGGGUGACAGCCCCGUACACAAAAGCGCAUGUGCUGUGAGCUCGAUGAGUAGGGCGGGACACGUGGUAUCCUGUCUGAAUAUGGGGGGACCAUCCUCCAAGGCUAAAUACUCCUGACUGACCGAUAGUGAACCAGUACCGUGAGGGAAAGGCGAAAAGAACCCCGGCGAGGGGAGUGAAAAAGAACCUGAAACCGUGUACGUACAAGCAGUGGGAGCACNNNNNNNNNNNNNNNNNUGCGUACCUUUUGUAUAAUGGGUCAGCGACUUAUAUUCUGUAGCAAGGUUAACCGAAUAGGGGAGCCGGAGGGAAACCGAGUCUUAAUUGGGCGUUAAGUUGCAGGGUAUAGACCCGAAACCCGGUGAUCUAGCCAUGGGCAGGUUGAAGGUUGGGUAACACUAACUGGAGGACCGAACCGACUAAUGUUGAAAAAUUAGCGGAUGACCUGUGGCUGGGGGUGAAAGGCCAAUCAAACCGGGAGAUAGCUGGUUCUCCCCGAAAGCUAUUUAGGUAGCGCCUCGUGAAUUCAUCUCCGGGGGUAGAGCACUGUUUCGGCUAGGGGGCCAUCCCGGCUUACCAACCCGAUGCAAACUGCGAAUACCGGAGAAUGUUAUCACGGGAGACACACGGCGGGUGCUAACGUCCGUCGUGAAGAGGGAAACAACCCAGACCGCCAGCUAAGGUCCCAAAGUCAUGGUUAAGUGGGAAACGAUGUGGGAAGGCCCAGACAGCCAGGAUGUUGGCUUAGAAGCAGCCAUCAUUUAAAGAAAGCGUAAUAGCUCACUGGUCGAGUCGGCCUGCGCGGAAGAUGUAACGGGGCUAAACCAUGCACCGAAGCUGCGGCAGCGACACUGUGUGUUGUUGGGUAGGGGAGCGUUCUGUAAGCCUGCGAAGGUGGCCUGUGAGGGUUGCUGGAGGUAUCAGAAGUGCGAAUGCUGACAUAAGUAACGAUAAAGCGGGUGAAAAGCCCGCUCGCCGGAAGACCAAGGGUUCCUGUCCAACGUUAAUCGGGGCAGGGUGAGUCGACCCCUAAGGCGAGGCCGAAAGGCGUAGUCGAUGGGAAACGGGUUAAUAUUCCCGUACUUGGUGUUACUGCGAAGGGGGGACGGAGAAGGCUAUGUUGGCCGGGCGACGGUUGUCCCGGUUUAAGCGUGUAGGUGUGUGUUCCAGGUAAAUCCGGUUCACUUUAACACUGAGGCGUGACGACGAGGCACUACGGUGCUGAAGCAACAAAUGCCCUGCUUCCAGGAAAAGCCUCUAAGCAUCAGGUAACAUCAAAUCGUACCCCAAACCGACACAGGUGGUCAGGUAGAGAAUACCAAGGCGCUUGAGAGAACUCGGGUGAAGGAACUAGGCAAAAUGGUGCCGUAACUUCGGGAGAAGGCACGCUGACACGUAGGUGAAGUGAUUUACUCAUGGAGCUGAAGUCAGUCGAAGAUACCAGCUGGCUGCAACUGUUUAUUAAAAACACAGCACUGUGCAAACACGAAAGUGGACGUAUACGGUGUGACGCCUGCCCGGUGCCGGAAGGUUAAUUGAUGGGGUCAGCGCAAGCGAAGCUCCUGAUCGAAGCCCCGGUAAACGGCGGCCGUAACUAUAACGGUCCUAAGGUAGCGAAAUUCCUUGUCGGGUAAGUUCCGACCUGCACGAAUGGCGUAAUGAUGGCCAGGCUGUCUCCACCCGAGACUCAGUGAAAUUGAACUCGCUGUGAAGAUGCAGUGUACCCGCGGCAAGACGGAAAGACCCCGUGAACCUUUACUAUAGCUUGACACUGAACAUUGAGCCUUGAUGUGUAGGAUAGGUGGGAGGCUUUGAAGUGUGGACGCCAGUCUGCAUGGAGCCGACCUUGAAAUACCACCCUUUAAUGUUUGAUGUUCUAACGUGGACCCGUUACCCGGGUUGCGGACAGUGUCUGGUGGGUAGUUUGACUGGGGCGGUCUCCUCCUAAAGAGUAACGGAGGAGCACGAAGGUUGGCUAAUCCUGGUCGGACAUCAGGAGGUUAGUGCAAUGGCAUAAGCCAGCUUGACUGCGAGCGUGACGGCGCGAGCAGGUGCGAAAGCAGGUCAUAGUGAUCCGGUGGUUCUGAAUGGAAGGGCCAUCGCUCAACGGAUAAAAGGUACUCCGGGGAUAACAGGCUGAUACCGCCCAAGAGUUCAUAUCGACGGCGGUGUUUGGCACCUCGAUGUCGGCUCAUCACAUCCUGGGGCUGAAGUAGGUCCCAAGGGUAUGGCUGUUCGCCAUUUAAAGUGGUACGCGAGCUGGGUUUAGAACGUCGUGAGACAGUUCGGUCCCUAUCUGCCGUGGGCGCUGGAGAACUGAGGGGGGCUGCUCCUAGUACGAGAGGACCGGAGUGGACGCAUCACUGGUGUUCGGGUUGUCAUGCCAAUGGCACUGCCCGGUAGCUAAAUGCGGAAGAGAUAAGUGCUGAAAGCAUCUAAGCACGAAACUUGCCCCGAGAUGAGUUCUCCCUGAGACUUAAAGUCUCCUGAAGGAACGUUGAAGACGACGACGUUGAUAGGCCGGGUGUGUAAGCGCAGCGAUGCGUUGAGCUAACCGGUACUAAUGAACCGUGAGGCUUAACCUUACAACGCCGAAG